ACCGAUGUGGUUUCGUGCUUUCUCACUUUAGUACCAUGUAAUUUAAAAUUUAUCAUUUUAGUAUUAUGUGAUUUCAUUUUUCUUUUUUCAUUAUCCCUCAAGUUAUUUUUUCGUUAUAUUAGUAAUAAAGCUAAAACCAUAGGAUACUAAAGUAAAACAUUCGUUAAACUAGUCUACAUAGUACUAAAAUAAAUAUUCAAUAAAUUAUAGAUAGGCUAUCUGAAGUUUUUUAUAUGUGAUUUAACGAAGAACUA
rnacentral:lncRNA from 1 species